rnacentral:rRNA from 1 species
GGGUCAGUAGGUUGGUCGUGCCACCGGUACGUACUGGUCUCACUGAUUCCUCCUUCCUGAAGAACCGUAAUGCCAUUAAUUUGGUGUUGUGGGGAAACAGGACUGUUACUUUGAAAGAAUUAGAGUGUUUAAAGCAAGCUAACGCUUGAAUACAUUAGCAUGGAAUAAUGAAAUAGGACGAUCGAUCCUAUUUUGUUGGUUUCUAGGAUUGACGUA